GAUGAACGCUGGCGGCGUGCUUAACACAUGCAAGUCGAACGGAAAGGCUCCUGCUUGCAGGGGUACUCGAGUGGCGAACGGGUGAGUAACACGUGGGUGAUCUGCCCUGCACUUCGGGAUAAGCCUGGGAAACUGGGUCUAAUACCGGAUAGGACCACAUUUUGGAUGGUGUGGUGGAAAGUUUUUCGGUGUGGGAUGAGCUCGCGGCCUAUCAGCGUGUUGGUGGGGUAAUGGCCUACCAAGGCGUCGACGGGUAGCCGGCCUGAGAGGGUGUACGGCCACAUUGGGACUGAGAUACGGCCCAGACUCCUACGGGAGGCAGCAGUGGGGAAUAUUGCACAAUGGGCGCAAGCCUGAUGCAGCGACGCCGCGUGGGGGAUGACGGCCUUCGGGUUGUAAACUCCUUUCGCUAGGGACGAAGCGCAAGUGACGGUACCUGGAGAAGAAGCACCGGCUAACUACGUG
rnacentral:rRNA from 1 species